rnacentral:rRNA from 1 species
ACGGGUGAGUAACGCGUGGGAAUCUACCCAUCUCUACGGAAUAACGCAUGGAAACGUGUGCUAAUACCGUAUACGUCCUUCGGGAGAAAGAUUUAUCGGAGAUGGAUGAGCCCGCGUUGGAUUAGCUAGUUGGUGGGGUAAAGGCCUACCAAGGCGACGAUCCAUAGCUGGUCUGAGAGGAUGAUCAGCCACACUGGGACUGAGACACGGCCCAGACUCCUACGGGAGGCAGCAGUGGGGAAUAUUGGACAACGGGCGCAAGCCUGAUCCAGCCAUGCCGCGUGAGUGAUGAAGGCCCUAGGGUUGUAAAGCUCUUUCACCGGUGAAGAUAAUGACGGUAACCGGAGAAGAAGCCCCGGCUAACUUCGUGCCAGCAGCCGCGGUAAUACGAAGGGGGCUAGCGUUGUUCGGAUUUACUGGGCGUAAAGCGCACGUAGGCGGACUAUUAAGUCAGGGGUGAAAUCCCGGGGCUCAACCCCGGAACUGCCUUUGAUACUGGUAGUCUUGAGUUCGAGAGAGGUGAGUGGAAUUCCGAGUGUAGAGGUGAAACUCGUAGA